UGAUCCUGGCUCAGGAUGAACGCUAGCGGCAGGCCUAAUACAUGCAAGUCGAACGGUAACAUUGGUGCUUGCACCAGAUGACGAGUGGCGCACGGGUGCGUAACGCGUAUGCAAUCUACCUUUUACUAGAGUAUAGCCCAGAGAAAUUUGGAUUAAUCCUCUAUAAUAUCUUUUAAUUUCAUGAUUUUAAGAUUAAAGUUUUAACGGUAAAAGAUGAGCAUGCGUCCUAUUAGUUUGUAGGUGAGGUAACGGCUCACCUAGACUACGAUAGGUAGGGGCCCUGAGAGGGGGAUCCCCCACACUGGUACUGAGACACGGACCAGACUCCUACGGGAGGCAGCAGUAAGGAAUAUUGGACAAUGGACGAAAGUCUGAUCCAGCCAUGCCGCGUGCAGGAUGAAAGCCCUACGGGUUGUAAACUGCUUUUAUACAGGAAGAAACACUCCGACGUGUCGGAGCUUGACGGUACUGUAAGAAUAAGGAUCGGCUAACUCCGUGCCAGCAGCCGCGGUAAUACGGAGGAUCCAAGCGUUAUCCGGAAUCAUUGGGUUUAAAGGGUCCGCAGGCUGUUUUUUAAGUCAGAGGUGAAAUCCUACAGCUCAACUGUAGAACUGCCUUUGAUACUGAAAAACUUGAGUUAUUGUGAAGUGGUUAGAAUGUGUGGUGUAGCGGUGAAAUGCAUAGAUAUCACACAGAAUACCGAUUGCGAAGGCAGAUCACUAACAAUAUACUGACGCUCAUGGACGAAAGCGUGGGGAGCGAACAGGAUUAGAUACCCUGGUAGUCCACGCCGUAAACGAUGGAUACUAGCUGUUCGUCUAACAUUGGUUAGAUGAGUGGCUAAGCGAAAGUGAUAAGUAUCCCACCUGGGGAGUACGGUCGCAAGACUGAAACUCAAAGGAAUUGACGGGGGCCCGCACAAGCGGUGGAGCAUGUGGUUUAAUUCGAUGAUACGCGAGGAACCUUACCAGGGCUUAAAUGUAGUGGGACAGGUCUAGAGAUAGACCCUUCUUCGGACUCAUUACAAGGUGCUGCAUGGUUGUCGUCAGCUCGUGCCGUGAGGUGUCAGGUUAAGUCCUAUAACGAGCGCAACCCACAUCUUUAGUUGCCAGCAGGUUAAGCUGGGCACUCUAGAGAAACUGCCCGUGAUAAGCGGGAGGAAGGUGUGGAUGACGUCAAGUCCUCAUGGCCCUUACGGGUUGGGCUACACACGUGCUACAAUGGCAGUGACAAUGGGUUAAUCCCCAAAAGCUGUCUCAGUUCGGAUUGGGGUCUGCAACUCGACCCCAUGAAGUUGGAAUCGCUAGUAAUCGCGGAACAGCAUGCCGCGGUGAAUACGUUCCCGGGCCUUGUACACACCGCCCGUCACACCAUGGGAAUUGGGUCUACCCGAAGGUGGUGCGCCAACUAUUUAUAGAGGCAGCCAACCACGGUAGGUUCAGUGACUGGGGUGAAGUCGUAACAAGGUAACC
rnacentral:rRNA from 1 species